CAGCCGCCGCGGGAAUACGUAGGGGGCGAGCGUUGUCCGAAGUUACUGGGCGUAAAGCGCGCGUAGGCGGCUUCUUAAGUCUGAGGUGAAAGGUUCAACGCUUAACGUGAACAGUGCCUUGGAUACUGGGGAGCUUGAGUAUGGGAGAGGGCAGUGGAAUGGCUGGUGUAGCGGUGAAAUGCGUAGAUAUCAGUCGGAACACCCAUGGCGAAGGCAGCUGCCUGGCCUAAUACUGACGCUGAGGUGCGAAAGCGUGGGGAGCGAACGGGAUUAGAUACCCCGGUAGUCCCUGUCUCUUAUA
rnacentral:rRNA from 1 species